GCUUCGGUAGUGCAACGGUUUGAGCACGCGCCACCUGCAAAGAUGAGGUGUGGGUUCAAGCCUCAACUGACGCA